CAAAAAAUUAUGAGGUCCAAAGCAUGCUUUAGCAGCCUUACCCUUGGCCGGCACCGGCCUACACCGCCGAGCCCCACUUUUUUACCUGUAGUUUUGGAGAUCCAUCAAAAUCCGUACAUGAUUUAGUGAUAGAGUUACAAGAAAGUAACUCCCGUAUGCUCUCUCAUUUUAGCCACGUGGGGUCAGUCCUGCAAGACAUGCAAUUGGACUCAACAACUUUGGCAGAGAAAACAACAGAGGAGGCCACUGUGGAUGAUGAACCGGACAAUAUAAUGUUGUGUUAGUUGGUGUCAAUGAGAGUGACUUUGAUUUAGUCUACAAAACCUCAAAAGCUCUUGAUCCACAAUCUCUUGUUAUUAAUGGUGGGGAUACAUUUCCAGAACUAGAGGGUUUCAAAGUUCUACCUAUUGCUACUGUUAUCACAUACUCUAAGGCAGAUGCGAAGCCGGGUAUUUAAGUGUGUGAGUUCUAAAUUUUAAAAUAACACAUUACUUUCAGGGAAAUCAAACCCUCAUUUUUUUUCAGCGAACCCACAACCCUUAUCAUUGAACCGAGACCCAUUUUGUUACUAGGUUCGACAGUAUAUAUUUAUAUAGAUUUAGUAAAUAUUUCAAUACAAAUACAGGGUUCCGGAAAAAGCGGUUCGCCCGAACCCGCACCCACUACGGUAGCUCCGCCCCUGCUCUAAGGUAGAAUUUAUUCAGGCUGCCGUACUUGGUUUCAAGAACCUAAUUUGGGUAUUGUUUCCUUCAACGGUCCGAUUGAAUUUUACAUUUUGAGAGACCUAGAGUUGCUUACAACCUGUUCGAUCAAAUGCCCAAAUCUAAUAGACUGUAUAGGUAUUGGAUGAUGCAUAAAGUUGUGACUGCGCAACAUGCGUUACUUCAUUUUCCGUUUGAUCCUGGUUCAGCAAAUGGACUUAUAUCCGAAGGUGUAGCACUGGUGUUUGAUAAUAGUCUUCUAUGGAAUUUGCUAUAGUAUGUUUGGUGAGAUGUUGGCAAUUGGGAUGGGAGAUCGAGCAGGGUUUUUUGCAGACCAAGUGUUUGAUGGAAAGUUUCAAAAAAACAGCCAUGAGUGCAUUUUCCUGUUUGCAAACAAGGAGUUGAUUUUAAUUUCUCUUAGUUACCACGAUUGUCGAAUACCUACUGAGACAGAUGGAUUGAGUAGAAAUGCAGCUUUCCUUCAAAGCAUCUUAAACCUUCAAUAUGGACAUCAAUUUUCCAUGUACCACUGUCGUUGUCUUGAUACUGGGCAAACACCAUCUCUAGUGACACUGUCCGGAGCUGUUCAAAGUUGGCUCAAAUAUCUUGAUAAUGAACCAACAACUGCAGGGUCUUUUUUGCUGCACUUGCAUCAGUUGUAGAAGCUGCACAGUCAAACCUUAUGGACCAAAUGCUUGACGAAAUGCCUCCUUACUGCUCUAAGUUGUUCGAUCCUGGGCCAUCAGCUGCAACUGUCAUUCUCGCGGCAACGGUACUUUAUUUGACAAAUGGACAUUCAGAAGAUGACCAUUUAUUUAUUGAAUGUCCUCAACUUGUUGAAUCUAGAAUUCUAGGUUCGGCGAUUGCAUUUCAAGUGAAUUUCACAAAGCAAUUAGUUUGUGAUGGUGAUUGGAGAGGCAACAUUCAGGUUGCCAGAUUUACUCAACUUCAGGGUGUCUAAUCACUUUGAGCUGGACCUUAAGAGCGAACUGAGGAAGGUCUUUAUCAGUAAACCUAUUGUCUUAAGGAGAACACGAACAACUUGUGAGGGGGCAAGUAGUGUGGCAUCAAUUGCAAAAUGUUUCGAGGGUGCAUUGGAGCCGUAUAAUUUGAUGAAACUCGAUGGGUAUCAACCAUUUGACACAUCACUUGUUAGCGUGAUCAGUUCGUGUUCGACGCUUGCUCCAUUUAGACAGGGCACCAGUUUAUGAUAUAAGCACGGGAGCAAUAUAUGUGGUUGCAAUUGUUAGUCCAUUGUUUAUCAUGUAUUCAACCUCUGGAUGUUUUGCUAUAGCUGCAAGGAAAUUUGAAGACACGGGAGAAGCUGAUAUUGUUUUGUGUACAUUGGACUGCAUCCGAGAUAUUGUUUUCGAUGCUACCAUGUUCGAGAUUGUACCUAGGUUCCAUCUAGUUGAAUCCUAUCUCGGGGGAAAACAGUUUGCCGCUAAUGUAAUGAUGUUCACAGUUGGUGUGCAAAUUGUUAACAAGCCAAUUGUUGUCGGUGGUGGCAGUGGCUCAAGAAAAAGCCUUGUUGGCUCACUGAGAGAAAGACUUUGUGCUCUAACUAGGUAGCAGGUUUUUAUGUGUAUUUUGAACAUCAGGAAAUUACAAUUUAGUUGGUUAAGGAUCCGUAUUAGCCUUGUGACUCAAAAUCCAGCAUUCAUUCGUACUAUUUUACUUGAGAACAACUUGUAUGGAAUGCUUGCAGCUAUGGUUGAAUUUGAAGCUUCUAUUUCUAUUGUCAUUGUGUAA